rnacentral:rRNA from 1 species
UACGAAGGGGGCUAGCGUUGCUCGGAAUUACUGGGCGUAAAGGGCGCGUAGGCGGAUAGUUCAGUCGGGGGUGAAAGCCCGGGGCUCAACCUCGGAACUGCCUUCGAUACUGGCUAUCUUGAGUACGGGAGAGGUGUGUGGAACUUCGAGUGUAGAGGUGAAAUUCGUAGAUAUUCGGAAGAACACCAGUGGCGAAGGCGACACACUGGCCCGUUACUGACGCUGAGGCGCGAAAGCGUGGGGAGCAAACAGG